GUCUACGACCAUGCUACCCUGAACAAGUCUGAUCCUGUCUAAUCUUGGAAACUAAGCAGGGUUGGGCCUGAUUAGUACUUAGAUGGGAGACCACCUAGGAAAACCAGGUGCUGUAGGUG
rnacentral:rRNA from 1 species